rnacentral:lncRNA from 1 species
GGUUUUAUGUGGUUUUGGAUAUUUGGGAUAUCAAAGCAUAUAGAUUAUUUUCUUGAAUGAUUCUGUGCAAGGAAAUGUAAUAGAAGUAGUUAAAUUUUAUUUUCUAACAAUUUUAUCUAUUUUCUUAUUUUUACCCAAAUUUCAACAAAAAUCAAAUCCUUUCUUCUUAUUCUCCAACAGGUUUGAAUUUUUUUAUCCACUUUACAUGUUCUAUAGUUCGAGGAGUUUCUUUGUGUUCAUCCAAAUUCAUGUCUUUGCCACCUAAGUUGUUAUUGUGAUUGUGAAACUUAUGUUCUCAUUUUUUAUUUAUUUACAUUAGUAUCAUCCCACAUGUACCUUAGUAUUUUUAUUUCUAUAAUUAGGGUUUGGGAGUUUGGUGAGGGGUUCAAAAUCUAAGCAAUCUUGUCCACACUCCUUUUUGGGUAGUUAAUAUAGAUAAUUAGACUAAUCUUUAUUUUCUAUAUUGAAAAAUAGUAGUUUGGUGGAUGUGAGAAAAUUCACGUUUAAUUUGUGUUUGCUUGUAGGUGUUUGUGGCUUCCAAAUUGAAUGUUCCAGGAGCAUGGCAGAUGCCUCAGGUAAUACCAUGGAUUUUCUUAAAGAAUAAUUUACUGGACUAUAAAAAAGUUUGUCACAAUCUUGUGCAUAAGACACGAAAGGACAUCUUUAGCAUGUAGUUCUAGAUAAUACUGCACAAAAUAAGAUACAAGAUUUGAAUUUUUUUAUCUUGUAAAUUUCUAGCCUGUAAUAGUCCUUCUAAUACACCAAAUGUUCCAAGAAAUGCUUGUGUAACUACUUAGCCCUUGUUUGGUCGCCAUUAUUUCUAAAUUUCAUUUUUUUCUUUCUUAUUUUCAAUUAUACAUUUUUCAUUAUAAUCACACGUUCCCCAUCAAUAUACUAUUUCAAGAUGCAUUUUUCGGAAAAAGGGGGGGAGGGACGGGCUCUUAGGUUUACCAACUUUCAUUUCCUAAACUUUUCUGUUAAAGAAUUUGGAAGAAUUGGGGAGUUCUUAAUAGUUAAUAGCACCGUAUAAAUGUCCAUUAAUGAUCACAAC